rnacentral:misc_RNA from 1 species
UUUCCGUAGGUGAACCUGCGGAAGGAUCAUUACCAAAUCCAAAUACCCUUUUAAUCCCCAUGUGAACUAUUGAAUAUUGUACUUGUCUUUUGGGGAAAAAAAAAAAUAUUUUAAAUAUUACGGAAAAGAUUUCUAAACAAGUGCGGCAAAAAGCAUUGUCUGUUUUUUACAAAUGUACUUAAAAGAAUCUUUUUUAUUUUAAAUUAUAUUUCCCCCAAAAGCUUUAAAAUAAAGAUUAUUUCUUUGUUUUAUAUUUAAAACUACUUUUUUAAAAAAAUUUUAAUUUGGAAUUUUUAUAAAAUUUUUAUAAAUUUUUAUAAUAAAAUGACAACUUUUAACGGUGGAUCUCUUGGCUCAU